AUUGAACGCUGGCGGCAGGCCUAACACAUGCAAGUCGAGCGGAUGAAGGGAGCUUGCUCCUGGAUUCAGCGGCGGACGGGUGAGUAAUGCCUAGGAAUCUGCCUGGUAGUGGGGGAUAACGUCCGGAAACGGGCGCUAAUACCGCAUACGUCCUGAGGGAGAAAGUGGGGGAUCUUCGGACCUCACGCUAUCAGAUGGGCCUAGGUCGGAUUAGCUAGUUGGUGGGGUAAAGGCCUACCAAGGCGACGAUCCGUAACUGGUCUGAGAGGAUAAUCAGUCACACUGGAACUGAGACAUGGUCCAGACUCCUACGGGAGGCAGCAGUGGGGAAUAUUGGACAAUGGGCGAAAGCCUGAUCCAGCCAUGCCGCGUGUGUGAAGAAGGUCUUCGGAUUGUAAAGCACUUUAAGUUGGGAGGAAGGGCAGUAAGUUAAUACCUUGCUGUUUUGACGUUACCAACAGAAUAAGCACCGGCUAACUUCGUG
rnacentral:rRNA from 1 species